rnacentral:rRNA from 1 species
GAUGAACGCUGGCGGCGUGCCUAAUACAUGCAAGUCGAGCGAACAGAUGAGGAGCUUGCUCCUCUGACGUUAGCGGCGGACGGGUGAGUAACACGUGGAUAACCUACCUAUAAGACUGGGAUAACUUCGGGAAACCGGAGCUAAUACCGGAUAAUAUAUUGAACCGCAUGGUUCAAUAGUGAAAGACGGUUUUGCUGUCACUUAUAGAUGGAUCCGCGCCGCAUUAGCUAGUUGGUAAGGUAACGGCUUACCAAGGCAACGAUGCGUAGCCGACCUGAGAGGGGGACCGGCCCACCUGGAAAUGAAGACGGGGCCAGCACCCCAGGGGGGGAAGCAGAGGGAAAUUCUCCGAAAGGGGGGAAAGCCUAAGGGGACAACGCCGGGGGAGUAAAGAAGGUCUUCGGAUCGUAAAACCCUUUUAUUGGGGAAAAAAAAAUGUGUAAGUAACUAUGCACGUUUUGACGGUACCAAAUCAAAAAGCCGCGGCAGACUGCGU